CAUUAUGUAUAAAUCCUACAGAGGCUGAGUAUUUUGCAUAAUUUAUAGAAGGAGACCGAACAAACACACACAGCAAGCGCAGGUGGAGACUCGCAAUUUAUUUCCAAAUGCCUCCUGCCUUUGGAAAGACAACACUUUUUUCAGGCACUGACAAGACACCUUGAGGACACACAUCAAUUGUCUUUAAUGAUUCUGUAUGUGGGCUAUUAAACCUGCUGCAUGAAAUCUGCCAGAGGAACUCCCUACGUAUCCUUGGGAUGAAGGAGAACUGGAAAGCCAUUAGAACCAGCAGUCAAUUAUGAUACCCCAUGGAUGGAUUUUUCAGUCGAGCGUGGUUGAGCUCAACACAAACUAAUGGGGAGUCUUUAAAUGAGCUUGACCUGCAUAUGAUUUUAAUUAGCUUUCCUGCCCUAAAGGCUUCCAUUAACUGUUUAAAAAAAAUCAAUAGAGUCAGUAUUGAUGCUGUGUGAGAGCUUAAACGAUGUCGUAACACUCCGCUGAUUCCAUGUUGAUAAAGAGCCAGAGUGCCAAAGAAACACAAACACAAUAUGGAAACUCUUGUUUACAACCCUCACAUUGAUGUGCCUCUUCUCUCAUUGUUUGUCUAAUGUCACCGAGGGGACAUUUUCUGAGAAGCAUAAAAUCUGUGUGAGCAAACAGGUGAACGAUGCUCACAAUAUUCAAUUGUUACUCAGUUUUGAGUGGAUUUGCUCAGUUUAUUUCCCUGUAAGUCUUCUUUAGGAGACGGAUGUCAUUGUGAAGUGAUUUUUCCAUUGACCAUAAGUGUUUUUUUCUUUUUUUAAUCUAUGGAUGAAUAAACAGCAAAUGCCUCUGUGUGUGAGUGUUAGCUUUGCAAGCCCCAGGAGAGACGUUGAUUCUGCUUUGGGACCCAUCAUUGAUACACUCAUGCUGUCUUGAGUUUUUGUCGUUUCUCCUUCCCUCAGUGAUUAUCACUCAAUACUCAACAACUCACCUGGACACUUGAAAAGGUAACUAUGUUCUCGCUCAUGACAUAGAUGUUGCAAUCACUUUUACUAGGUAAAUGUAAAAAAGUCAAAUAUGAAGCAUCUGAGAAUCCAAGGCCAUGAUUCUUGCCUGGACAAGGAUGGUUUGCUCUUUCUGUGUAGGUGGAGAGUUCCUCCCUCAAGUGGAGGAGUUCAAGUAUCUUGAGGUUCUGUUCAUAAGUGAGGGAUGCAUGAAGCGUGAGGUUUGACAGGCAGAUAGGUACAGCAGCUGCAGCAGUCGAUCCUUUAUAGUGAAGAAGGAGCUGAGCCGAAAGGCAAAGCUCUCGAUUUACUGGUCAAUCUAUGUUUCUACUCUCACCUACGGUCAUGGGCUUUAGGUCAUGACCGAAAGGAUACAAUCCUGGAUACGAGCAGCUGAAAUGAGUUUUCUCUGCAGGGUGGCUGGACGCUCCUGUAAAGAUAGGGCUCGGUCACCACGGGAGAUCAGAGUGGAGGCGCUGCUCCUCCACAUUGAGAGUUGAGGUAGCUCUGACGUCUCUUAUGGAUGUCUCCUGGACAUCUCCCUGAGGAGAUCUGAUGGCGGCAGCCGGGUUGCGAUCCAAUCACAGGCUUGCGGCAGCAAUCACCUUCUGCUGAUUGGUUUUAUAAUCCUCUCUGAGGAUCUCAGAUGGAGGGGAGUCAGCUGGCCAAGUAGUGCUGCUCUGAUGGCUGUCAUACUGGCGCCCCCGCCUCCCACUACCCCGGCAUACAUAUCCAGGCAUGCACACGCAUGCACACCACACCGUAGCCUUUGCUUUCAGCAAUAUCACACUUCUGACUCGGUGGUAUUUUUUUUAUUCUAUCCACAAAAGUUCAGUAAAUGUGUUUUUACAAAUGCAUAUGUGUGAUUAUGCGGGUGAUGGCUCUGACUUCAUAUAGAGAAAAGCAGGCUUUAUAGGUAAGUUAUGCAUCUAAAAUGAAACCUUAUGCAUCUUAUAGGCUUACGAGUUUAUAUGAGUGUGUGAGUUCAAGGCUGUAUCCUUGAAUGGGCAAAGAACAGAAAGAAGUAGAGAUUGCACCAAGUCAGGGGAUCCCCACUUUGUCUUAAACUCCCAGAUCAAUAAAGUUCUCAUAUUCUAACAAAGUCGCCAUACUAUGUGAGCUAAUAGUACAGAUCUGUGUUAUGUAGCCGGUUUACAAAAGAAGGUGUGUAAUGAGUUAUGGUGCUUGAAAAAACAAUAAAAAUGUAAAGUUACAUUUAAUUUAGUCCAUUUGUUGCUAAAAUCUACCCAGAAAAGUGGAAAUAACAGAAUUCCUAAUAGGGUUUUGUGUUGUACUUUUUGUAUUCAGGUUCUAAUAACACUGUUAGUCAAAAUAAAUAAAUAAAUAAAUAAUGGAUCUACAGGUCCAACAAUUUAAAAAAGACAUUCAAAACAUGUUUUUUUUAAUCAAUUUCUGGUCAUUUUCGGAGUCCUUGGGAUGACACACCGAUCAUCCUUUUGUUUUCUUAAAGACCCACUCUGCUGAAAAUUGUGUUUUUCUUGCAGCCUUUUUUUAAUGAUGGGGGAAAAAAAACAUGUUAAAAAAAUUAAGCUCAAAAUUGCAUUUCAGAGAAUUUCUUUAUUUGAAUCAUUGCAAAUCAGAAGCUGCGCAGCUUUAAAGCAACUGGCUGGUGUUUCUCAUGACAGAAAAAAAUCUCACAUUUUUUCCAAGAUAACAGUUUCCAAAAGUCUUGAUGACAAAUGAGUUACUUGUUUUAGUCAAACUGCCAGAAUCCGUUUUACUCAUAACCGUUAAAGCAAAAAAAUAAAUAAAAAAAAAA